CUACGUGCCAGCAGCCGCGGUAAUACGGAGGGUGCGAGCGUUAAUCGGAAUAACUGGGCGUAAAGGGCACGCAGGCGGUGACUUAAGUGAGGUGUGAAAGCCCCGGGCUUAACCUGGGAAUUGCAUUUCAUACUGGGUCGCUAGAGUACUUUAGGGAGGGGUAGAAUUCCACGUGUAGCGGUGAAAUGCGUAGAGAUGUGGAGGAAUACCGAAGGCGAAGGCAGCCCCUUGGGAAUGUACUGACGCUCAUGUGCGAAAGCGUGGGGAGCAAACAGGAUUAGAUACCCUGGUAGUCCACGCUGUAAACGAUGUCGAUUUGGGGGUUGAACUUUAGGUUUGGCGCCCGUAGCUAACGUGAUAAAUCGACCGCCUGGGGAGUACGGCCGCAAGGUUAAAACUCAAAUGAAUUGACGGGGGCCCGCACAAGCGGUGGAGCAUGUGGUUUAAUUCGAUGCAACGCGAAGAACCUUACCUACUCU
rnacentral:rRNA from 1 species